AAUAAAUAUUUUGGUCAUUAGUGAAAAGCAAGCAUUAACUCGGAAGCCUUGAGGCAUCAGAGCCCUGUGUCAUUGGCAAGAAUCCCAGAUUUGAGCAUUGCAAGAAUAUUUACGUCCAAAGUGAACGUUGCAUUCAAUAUUCCACUUCUUCAUGCGUGCAGCACCGUGUCAUCGGUCGUGAAUUCACAUGCAGCUACAAUCUACAUGGACGUCGUCGCACCCUACUUCGACUUGAGUAAGAGAAGAGCCGUAGUUCUGAUGUGUCUUCUAGCGUUUGCAAGCGGCGUUCUAAUGACGCUUUUUGCGAUGGCCGUGCCAAUGAUGGGAUCGGCUACACGGCUGUUCGUCGCCUUUUACUCGUCUGCUUCGGGACCAUUCGCUGGGCUCGUUCUUCUUGCCAUCUCGUCUCCGUGGGUCAAUGCGAAG